rnacentral:rRNA from 1 species
CAGUAGCCACGGGAAUACGGAGGGUGCAAGCGUUAAUCGGAAUUACUGGGCGUAAAGCGCACGCAGGCGGUUUGUUAAGUCAGAUGUGAAAUCCCCGAGCUUAACUUGGGAACUGCAUUUGAAACUGGCAAGCUAGAGUCUUGUAGAGGGGGGUAGAAUUCCAGGUGUAGCGGUGAAAUGCGUAGAGAUCUGGAGGAAUACCGGUGGCGAAGGCGGCCCCCUGGACAAAGACUGACGCUCAGGUGCGAAAGCGUGGGGAGCAAACAGGAUUAGAGACCCCGGUAGUCCCUGUCUCUUAUAC